rnacentral:rRNA from 1 species
UACGGGGGGAGCAAGCGUUGUUCGGAUUUACUGGGCGUAAAGGGCGCGUAGGCGGCCACCGCAAGUCGGUUGUGAAAUCUCUGGGCUUAACCCAGAAAGGUCAAUCGAUACUGCGGGGCUAGAGUGCAGAAGGGGCAACUGGAAUUCUCGGUGUAGCGGUGAAAUGCGUAGAUAUCGAGAGGAACACCUGCGGCGAAGGCGGGUUGCUGGGCUGACACUGAGGCGCGAAAGCGUGGGGAGCAAACAGG